GGAAGUUUAGCUCAGUGGUAGAGCAAUCGACUGCAGAUCGAUAGGUCCGGCGUUCAACUCGCCGAACUUCCU